rnacentral:lncRNA from 1 species
CAACAAGGAACUAAAAUCCACUGGAAUAAAGGAAAGGUCUUAGCAACACCAGCGUGUGCCAGUCAGCCGAGAUGGGAAGACGGCCAGGAGGCAAAAAGACGGCUCUCCUAUCCUGAUAAAUUUAUGCUACAGGAAGUGAUAGAAAAAAGAGAAAUGCGGACUUUCUGAAUUCAAGGAAACAUUACAGCCACGUAUUUAAUCCAACAAAGGUACAGAGACUUUUUCUAAAGUAGGAAGGGCUUUUGGAACAAGAUAAUGGGAAAAAGGCCAAAGAGUUUCCCCAAAGUCAAAUGUUUUUUGCAUAUUAUGUGUAUGUGACAGUAAAUUUUGCUCCUAAAGAUCAUGUAAAUAAUUGAUUUUUUUAAAUGGCUCAGUUAGGACUCAGGACAAAGAUUCAGAAGAGGAUGCCCAGUGGCCAUGGUACCUAUGUUUUACUAUUAGAGAAGGCCCCACUCACAGCAAUGCUGGGGAAAUGCAGAAGGUGAAUGGUUAAGUCUCUACAACAAUGGAGGAGGCUGCCUGAUCUAGGGUAGGUCUGUGUUUCUUUAGGGGAAACUCACCAUUUCUAUUCACACCGAGCCAAGACAAAGGAAUAUUCUCCAAGUGUUUCACAAAUCCUUAACAAUGUCGAUAUGGUUUGGUUGUGUCCCCACCCACAUCUCAUCUUGAACUGUAGCUCCCAUAAUUCCCACGUGUCAUGGGAGGGAUGCAGUGGGAGGUAAUUAAAUAAUGGGGGCAGGUAUUUCCCAUGCUGUUCUCUGAAUAGCGAAUAAGUCUCACAAGAUCUGAUGGUUUUAUAAAAGGGAGAUUCCCUCUGCACACGUGCUCUUGCCUGCCACCAAGUAAGAUGUGCCUUUGCUUCUCCUUUGUCUUUCGCCAUGAUUGUGAAGCCUCCCCAGCCAUGUGGAACUGUGAGUCCAUUAAACCGCUUUCCUUUUUAAAUUA